ACGGAGGGUGCAAGCGUUAUCCGGAUUCACUGGGUUUAAAGGGUGCGUAGGUGGGUGUGUAAGUCAGUGGUGAAAUCCCCGAGCUUAACUUGGGCACUGCCGUUGAUACUAUACAUCUUGAAUAUCGUAGAGGUAAGCGGAAUAUGUCAUGUAGCGGUGAAAUGCUUAGAGAUGACAUAGAACACCAAUUGCGAAGGCAGCUUGCUAUGCGAUUAUUGACACUGAGGCACGAAAGCGUGGGUAGCAAACAGGAUUAGAUACCCUGGUAGUCCACGCCCUAAACUAUGGAUACUCGACAUACGCGAUACACUGUGUGUGUCUGAGCGAAAGCAUUAAGUAUCCCACCUGGGAAGUACGACCGCAAGGUUGAAACUCAA
rnacentral:rRNA from 1 species